rnacentral:rRNA from 1 species
AACGAACGCUGGCGGCAUGCCUAACACAUGCAAGUCGAACGAGACCUUCGGGUCUAGUGGCGCACGGGUGCGUAACGCGUGGGAACCUGCCCUUAGGUUCGGAAUAACUCCCCGAAAGGGGUGCUAAUACCGGAUAAUGUCUUCGGACCAAAGAUUUAUCGCCUUUGGAUGGGCCCGCGUUGGAUUAGCUAGUUGGUAGGGUAAAAGCCUACCAAGGCGACGAUCCAUAGCUGGUCUGAGAGGAUGAUCAGCCACACUGGGACUGAGACACGGCCCAGACUCCAAGGGAGGCAGCAGUGGGGAAUAUUGGACAAUGGGCGAAAGCCUGAUCCAGCAAUGCCGCGUGAGUGAUGAAGGCCUUAGGGUUGUAAAGCUCUUUUACCCGGGAUGAUAAUGACAGUACCGGGAGAAUAAGCUCCGGCUAACUCCGUG